AGAUCUAAGAAUCUUGUUUUGUGGAUGGUGAACUCGCUGUUUUCCAAUGAGCUAGGCUGGUGCAGGGCUGAAUCUUUUGGUCACCACUACCACCGGGGGAGGCCUCUGAAUUUCUUGAAUUCUUCUGAGACCAAAAGAAGAAUAAAUCAAAGAAGAACUCUUACAUUGAUUCCAAAGGCAAAUUCACAAGACAAGUGCACAUUUAAAGUGAUGUAUUUUCUUCGACAUACAGUUUUGCCUGCAUUCUGUCCUAGGCAAUGACAGCAGAGAACGAAUAAUUCCCGAUGCGGUGUCUUCCAUCAGUUAAAGGGACUUGAAAAGGGGAACGAAGAACAACUGUGAAGUGUCCCUGUCUCAUGACCCUGUCAUAUUCUCAGGGAAACGAACAUGUGGAAGGCUGCAGGACAUCCCAGCAAAAGAGGCGAAAAGCUCCUGACUCUUGGGAAGAACGCUGCCCCUCACUUCCCCCAUUAGAGGGAGAGCUCCUCUAGCACCCUCACCUUUUCUGGACUGUUCAAAGACAGCCAGUAUGGGUUCCUGGGCUGGAGAAGUCCGACUAGCAAUUUUUCCCAG
rnacentral:lncRNA from 1 species